GACGAACGCUGGCGGCGUGCCUAAUACAUGCAAGUAGAACGCACAGUUUAUACCGUAGCUUGCUACACCAUACACUGUGAGUUGCGAACGGGUGAGUAACGCGUAGGUAACCUGCCUGGUAGCGGGGGAUAACUAUUGGAAACGAUAGCUAAUACCGCAUAAUAUUGAUUAUUGCAUGAUAAUUGAUUGAAAGAUGCUAUUGCAUCACUACCAGAUGGACCUGCGUUGUAUUAGCUAGUAGGUGAGGUAACGGCUCACCUAGGCGACGAUACAUAGCCGACCUGGGAGGGUGAUCAGCCACACUGGGACUGAGACACGGCCCAGACUCCUACGGGAGGGAGCAGGAGGGGAACUUCGGCAAUGGACGAAAGGCUGACCGAGCAACGCCGCGUGAGUGAAGAAGGUUUUCGGAUCGUAAAGCUCUGUUGUAAGGGAAGAACGGGUGUGAGAGUGGAAAGUUCACACUGUGACGGUAUCUAACCAGAAAGGGACGGCUAACUACGUG
rnacentral:rRNA from 1 species